AGUCACUGACAUUAGAUACCCGCGUAGUCCAGGGUGUAAACGCUGCAGACUUGGUGUUGGAGGCCCUUUGGGGGCAUUCAGUGCCGGAGAGAAGUUGUUAAGUCUGCUACUUGGGAGUACGUCCGCAAGGAUGAAACUUAAAGGAAUUGGCGGGGAGCACCACAACGGGUGGAGCCUGCGGUUUAAUUGGACUCAACGCCGGAAAUCUCACCGGAUAGGACAGACAUAUGAUAGUCGGGCUGAAGACUCUACUUGAUGAUCUG
rnacentral:rRNA from 1 species